rnacentral:rRNA from 1 species
GUCUGAGGCUGCACCUCCCUGAAGGCGCCCGAUCUCGUCCUAUCUGGGAAGCUAAGCAGGGUCGGCCAGUCGGGACCUGGAUGGGAGACUGCCGUCCGGUGCGGCCCUCGGCU